rnacentral:rRNA from 1 species
GACGAACGCUGGCGGCGUGCUUAACACAUGCAAGUCGAACGGAAGAGCCCUGCUUUUGUGUGGUGCUCGAGUGGCGCACGGGUGAGUAACACGGGAGUAACCUGCGCUUGACUUUGGGAUAACUUCAGGAAACUGGGGAUAAUACAGGAUAGGAGCUCCUGCUGCAUGGUGGGGGUUGGAAAGUUUCGGCGGUUGGGGAUGGACGCGCGGCUUAUCAGCUUGUUGGUGGGGGAGUGGCUUACCAAGGCUUUGACUGGUGGCCGGCAUGAGAGGGUGAACGCCGACAUUGGUACUGCGAGACGGACCAGACUCGUACGGUAGGCAGCAGGGGGGAACAUGGCACAAUGGGCGGAAGUCUGAUGCAGAAAUGUUGCGUGCGGGAUGCCGGUUUUCGGGGUGUAAACCGCUGUCGGUUGAUACGAAGCUUGAGUGACGGUAACGGCUAAAGAAGCACCGGCUAACUACGUG